rnacentral:lncRNA from 1 species
UGAUUUUCUACAUCUAUCUAUGAUGAAUUGAUGAUGUAUGGAUGAAUUGAAAGUUGUGGCCUUAUGGGCAAGUUAUGGAUGAAUUCUCUUGUGGUAAGUAAAAUGGUUGGGACUUGAGUGUUGUUGAUUAUGGCUUUGAAGGAUGGUAAGUUGACCUAUUUUAUGAAAAAUGUUGAAUUAGUAGGGAAUUGAGUAAUGUUG